rnacentral:rRNA from 1 species
CCAAUAGCGUAUAUUAAAGUUGUUGCAGUUAAAAAGCUCGUAGUUGAAUUUCGGGGUCAGUAGGUUGGUCAUGCCACUGGUAUGUACUGGUCUCACUGAUCCCUCCUUCCUGAUGAGCCGUAAUGCCAUUAAUUUGGUGUUGCGGGGAAUCUGGACUGUUACUUUGAAAAAAUUAGAGUGUUUAAAGCAGGCUAACGCCUGAAUACAUUAGCAUGGAAUAAUGAAAUAGGACGUUCGAUCCUAUUUUGUUGGUUUCUAGGAUUGACGUAAUGAUUAAUAGGGAUAGUUGGGGGCAUUAGUAUUCAAUUGUCAGAGGUGAAAUUCUUGGAUUUAUUGAAGACUAACUACUGCGAAAGCAUUUGCCAAGGAUGUUUUCAUUAAUCAAGAACGAAAGUUAGGGGAUCGAAGACGAUCAGAUACCGUCGUAGUCUUAACCAUAAACUAUGCCGACUAGGGAUCGGAUGAUGUUAAUUUUUUAAUGACUCAUUCGGCGCCUUACG